rnacentral:rRNA from 1 species
AGAGUUUGAUCCUGGCUCAGAUUGAACGCUGGCGGAAUGCUUUACACAUGCAAGUCGAACGGCAGCACGGGGGCAACCCUGGUGGCGAGUGGCGAACGGGUGAGUAAUACAUCGGAACGUGCCCAGUCGUGGGGGAUAACGUAGCGAAAGCUACGCUAAUACCGCAUACGAUCUCUGGAUGAAAGCGGGGGACCGCAAGGCCUCGCGCGAUUGGAGCGGCCGAUGGCAGAUUAGGUAGUUGGUGGGGUAAAGGCUCACCAAGCCGACGAUCUGUAGCUGGUCUGAGAGGACGACCAGCCACACUGGGACUGAGACACGGCCCAGACUCCUACGGGAGGCAGCAGUGGGGAAUUUUGGACAAUGGGCGCAAGCCUGAUCCAGCCAUUCCGCGUGCAGGAUGAAGGCCUUCGGGUUGUAAACUGCUUUUGUACGGAACGAAACGGCUUGAGCUAAUACCUUGAGCUAAUGACGGUACCGUAAGAAUAAGCACCGGCUAACUACGUGCCAGCAGCCGCGGUAAUACGUAGGGUGCGAGCGUUAAUCGGAAUUACUGGGCGUAAGGCGUGCGCAGGCGGUGAUGUAAGACAGGUGUGAAAUCCCCGGGCUUAACCUGGGAACUGCAUUUGUGACUGCAUCGCUGGAGUGCGGCAGAGGGGGAUGGAAUUCCGCGUGUAGCAGUGAAAUGCGUAGAUAUGCGGAGGAACACCGAUGGCGAAGGCAAUCCCCUGGGCCUGCACUGACGCUCAUGCACGAAAGCGUGGGGAGCAAACAGGAUUAGAUACCCUGGUAGUCCACGCCCUAAACGAUGUCAACUGGUUGUUGGGUCUUCACUGACUCAGUAACGAAGCUAACGCGUGAAUUUGACCGCCUGGGGGAGUACGGCCCGCAAGGUUGAAACUUCAAAGGAAUUGACGG